rnacentral:rRNA from 1 species
GAUUGAACGCUGGCGGCAUGCUUUACCCAUGCAAGUCGAACGGUAACAGGCCGCAAGGUGCUGACGAGUGGCGAACGGGUGAGUAAUGCAUCGGAACGUGCCCAGUCGUGGGGGAUAACUACUCGAAAGAGUAGCUAAUACCGCAUACGAUCUAUGGAUGAAAGCGGGGGACCGUAAGGCCUCGCGCGAUUGGAGCGGCCGAUGUCAGAUUAGGUAGUUGGUGGGGUAAAGGCUCACCAAGCCAACGAUCUGUAGCUGGUCUGAGAGGACGACCAGCCACACUGGGACUGAGACACGGCCCAGACUCCUACGGGAGGCAGCAGUGGGGAAUUUUGGACAAUGGGCGCAAGCCUGAUCCAGCAAUGCCGCGUGCAGGAAGAAGGCCUUCGGGUUGUAAACUGCUUUUGUACGGAACGAAACGGCUCUGGUUAAUACCCGGGGCUAAUGACGGUACCGUAAGAAUAAGCACCGGCUAACUACGUG